rnacentral:rRNA from 1 species
AAUGGGCGCAGCCUGAUGCAGCGACGCCGCGUGCGGGAUGACGGCCUUCCNGUUGUAAACCGCUUUUGACUGGGAGCAAGCCCUUCGGGGUGAGUGUACCUUUCGAAUAAGCACCGGCUAACUACGUGCCAGCAGCCGCGGUAAUACGUAGGGUGCAAGCGUUAUCCGGAAUUAUUGGGCGUAAAGGGCUCGUAGGCGGUUCGUCGCGUCCGGUGUGAAAGUCCAUCGCUUAACGGUGGAUCCGCGCCGGGUACGGGCGGGCUUGAGUGCGGUAGGGGAGACUGGAAUUCCCGGUGUAACGGUGGAAUGUGUAGAUAUCGGGAAGAACACCAANGGCGAAGGCAGGUCUCUGGGCCGUUACUGACGCUGAGGAGCGAAAGCGUGGGGAGCGAACAGGAUUAGAUACCCUGGUAGUCCAAGGGCGAAUUC